rnacentral:rRNA from 1 species
GAUGAACGCUGGCGGCGUGCCUAAUACAUGCAAGUCGAGCGAACGGACGAGAAGCUUGCUUCUCUGAUGUUAGCGGCGGACGGGUGAGUAACACGUGGAUAACCUACCUAUAAGACUGGGAUAACUUCGGGAAACCGUAGCUAAUACCGGAUAAUAUUUUGAACCACAUGGUUCAAAAGUGAAAGACGGUCUUGCUGUCACUUAUAGAUGGAUCCGCGCUGCAUUAGCUAGUUGGUAAGGUAACGGCUUACCAAGGCAACGAUGCAUAGCCGACCUGAGAGGGUGAUCGGCCACACUGGAACUGAGACACGGUCCAGACUCCUACGGGAGGCAGCAGUAGGGAAUCUUCCGCAAUGGGCGAAAGCCUGACGGAGCAACGCCGCGUGAGUGAUGAAGGUCUUCGGAUCGUAAAACUCUGUUAUUAGGGAAGAACAUAUGUGUAAGUAACUGUGCACAUCUUGACGGUACCUAAUCAGAAAGCCACGACUAACUACGUG